AUACAUAGGGGGCAAGCGUUAUCCGGAAUUAUUGGGCGUAAAGCGUGCGUAGGCGGUUUUUUAAGUCUGAUGUUAAAUCCCACAGCUCAACUGUGGGCUGCCAUUGGAGACUGGUUGACUUGGGUGCGGAAGAGGUAAGUGGAAUUCCAAGUGGAGCGGUGGAAUGCGACGAUAUUUGGAGGAACUCCAGUGGAGAAGGCGGCUAACUAGGCCGUUACUGAAGCUGAGGCACGAAGGCGUGGGGAGCAAGUAGGAUUAGAUACCCUGGUAGCCCACGCCGUAACCGAUGAGCACUAAGUGUCGGAUGAAUUUUCGGCGCUGCAGUUAACACAAUAAGUGCUCCGCCUGGGGAGUACGGUCGCAAGACUGAAACUCAAAGGAAUUGACGGGG
rnacentral:rRNA from 1 species